GACGCACGCUGGCGGCCUACUUAACACAUGCAAUUCGCACGACGGGCGCUGGAAGCUUGCUUCUAUCAAUCUUAGUGGCGAAUGUGUGUGUAACCCCUAAUCAACCUCCCCUUCAGCGGGGGACAACAGUCGGAAACGACUGCUAAUACCGCAUCCGAUCUAACCUCGGCAUCGAUGACAGAUUCAAGGUGUCCUCUACAUGUAAGCUAUCACUCUAGGAGGGGACUGCGUUGGAUUAGCUCGUUGGGGGGGCAACGGCCCACCAAGGCGAUGAUCAGUAGCCGGUCUGAGAGGAGGAACGGCCACAUUGGGACUGAGACACGGCCCAGACUCCUACGGGAGGCAGCAGUGGGGAAGCUUCCGCAAUGGACGCAAGUCUGACGGAGCAACGCCGCGUGAGUGAUGACGGCCUUCGGGUUGUAAAGCUCUGUUAAUCGGGACGAAAGGCCUUCUUGCGAAUAGUGAGAAGGAUUGACGGUACCGGAAUAGAAAGCCACGGCUAACUACGUG
rnacentral:rRNA from 1 species